GCUUUAGCCUUAGGUGGGGGAGUUUUCCAUUUCCCUUUCAGCUUAUAUUAAAUUACUUUCCUUUCUUGUCAUAGGCAUAAUCCUUUGAUGGGAAAACCUUGACGGCCUUUCAGAAGAGGAAGAAAGCCCUCCUCUGCAGAGUCACCAGGGACUGGCUAUUACUAAUUGAUUCUACAUGGAGAACACACAGUGGUGACAGCCAUCAGUCUGAAACAGGCCCAUUUAUUAUUAGUUUUCACUAA
rnacentral:lncRNA from 1 species